AUACUCUGGUUUCUCUUCAGAUCAUAUAAAUCUUUUGCCUUUUACUAAAAAUUUCCAUGGAGAGGAAUAGCAGAAGUUUACAAGGC
rnacentral:snRNA from 12 species